rnacentral:rRNA from 1 species
UACGUAGGGUGCGAGCGUUGUCCGGAAUUAUUGGGCGUAAAGAGCUCGUAGGCGGUGUGUCGCGUCGGUCGUGAAAACUUGGGGCUUAACCCUGAGCUUGCGGUCGAUACGGGCAUCACUGGAGUUCGGCAGGGGAGACUGGAAUUCCUGGUGUAGCGGUGAAAUGCGCAGAUAUCAGGAAGAACACCCGUGGCGAAGGCGGCUCUCUGGGACGGUACUGACGCUGAGACGCGAAAGCGUGGGGAGCGAACAGG